rnacentral:lncRNA from 1 species
GAGGACCUUUAGGAUCAUGGAACCACGGGAUCCUACAAUGGUUGGGGUGGAAGGGACCUUAAAGAUCAUAAAACCACGGUAUCCUACAAGGGUUGGGAUGGGAGGACCUUUAGGAUCAUGGCACUGUGGAAUCCCAAAAGGUUUGGGUUUUAAAGACCAUACAACCAUGAGAUCCUACAGUGGUUGGGUUGGGAGGAAUCUGUAGGAUCAUGGAAAUAUGGGAUCCUACAAUGGUUGGGGUGGAAGGGACCUUAAAGAUCAUAACACCACGGGAUCCUACAAGGGUUGGGGUGGAGGGGACCUUUAGGAUCGUGGCACUGUGGGAUCCCACAAGGGUUGGGUUUUAGGGAUCUCAAAGACCACAGAACGGUGGGAUCCUACAGCGGUUGGGAUGGAGAGGACCUUUAGGAUUAUGGAACCAUGUGAUCCUACAAGGGUUGGGGUGGGAGGACCUGUAGGAUCCUGGAACCACGGGAUCCUACAAUGGUUGGGGUGGAGGGGAUCUCAAAGACCAUAAAACCACGGGAUCCUACAAGGGUUGGGGUGGAGAGGACCUUUAGGGUAAUGGCACUGUGGGAUCCCACAAGGUUUGGGUUUUAAAGACCAUACAACCAUGAGAUCCUACAGUGGUUGGGUUGGGAGGAACCUUUAGGAUCAUGGAACCAUGGGAUCCUACAAUGGUUGGGGUGGGAGGACCUUUAGGAUUAUGGAACCAUGUGAUCCUAAAAGGGUUGCGGUGGGAGGACCUUUAGGAUCGUGGAACCACGGGAUCCUAAAAUGGUUGGGGUGGAAGGGACCUUGAAGACCGCAACACCACAGGAUCCUAAAAGGAUUGGGAUGGGAAGACCCUUAGGAUCAUGGCACUGUGGGAUCCCACAAGGUUUGGGUUUUAAAGACCAUACAACCAUGAGAUCCUACAGUGGUUGGGUUGGGAGGAAUCUUUAGGAUCAUGGAAAUAUGGGAUCCUACAAUGGUUGGGGUGGAAGGGACCUUAAAGAUCAUAACACCACCUGAUCCUACAAGGGUUGGGGUGGAGGGGACCUUUAGGAUCGUGGCUGCCUGGGAUCCCACAAGGGUUGGGUUUUAGGGAUCUCAAAGACCACAGAACUGUGGGAUCCUACAGCGUUUGGGAUGGAGAGGACCUGUAGGAUCGUGGAACCACAAGAUCCUACAAUGGUUGGGGUGGAAGGGACCUUGAAGAUCAUAACACCACGGCAUCCUACAAGGGUUGGGGUGGGAGGACCUUUAGGAUCGUGGCAAUGUGGGAUCCCACAAGGGUUGGGUUUUAAAGACCAUACAACCAUGAGAUCCUACAGCGCUGUGCAAAGCUGUGAUGUGGAUUUUGGGUGAAA